rnacentral:rRNA from 1 species
AGUCGAACGAAGGCUUCGGCCUUAGUGGCGCACGGGUGCGUAACGCGUGGGAAUCUACCCUUAGGUUCGGAAUAACAGUUGGAAACGACUGCUAAUACCGGAUGAUGACGUAAGUCCAAAGAUUUAUCGCCUAGGGAUGAGCCCGCGUAGGAUUAGCUAGUUGGUGUGGUAAAGGCGCACCAAGGCGACGAUCCUUAGCUGGUCUGAGAGGAUGAUCAGCCACACUGGGACUGAGACACGGCCCAGACUCCUACGGGAGGCAGCAGUGGGGAAUAUUGGACAAUGGGCGAAAGCCUGAUCCAGCAAUGCCGCGUGAGUGAUGAAGGCCUUAGGGUUGUAAAGCUCUUUUACCCGGGAUGAUAAUGACAGUACCGGGAGAAUAAGCUCCGGCUAACUCCGUGCCAGCAGCCGCGG